UAAUGAUACCCGAAUAGUGUUAUGCCCAACCGACGUCGUUUGAAAGAAUAAUUUAGAACUAACUAAUAAAACUAACUAAAAUAUGGUCACGCUAUAAAAUCUGUUCAUAAAUUUAGAACUAUACGCCUUUUAAAUUUAGAACUAUAAUUUUUACAAAACAAAAAUCUUAUAUCUUAUAUCUUAUAUUUAUAUAAAGGAGGAUCCUCAAAGGCUGACCUGGCAUGCUUGAAAAUCUUUCCUUUCAAUUUUCUCAUUUCCUAAUUUUUUCACAUUUUAAUAAUUAAAAAUUUACUUUUAAAGUUGAGAAAUACAAAGGACGGAUGAAAAGGCAAUUUAUGUACAUCUUUUGUAUCUUCAGCUUCCCUUCUACAGGCGCCUUAAUAUUUCCCUUUCAACCGAUGAUUUAUUACAAAUUCAUCACACAGAAGAACCCGUGGUUGAAGAAUACAGUAUAGCUGUUUAGUAUUCUUCCUAAUUUGUUUGCAUCUUUUUCCUUGCAGGUGUAGAAGUUGGGCUCAUGUGUAUAAUCUAUAAUAAUUGGCUUUAGUAUAUUUAUCAAGAAAAUUCCAACGGCGUCCCCGGUCCCAGAUUUUUUUCCCUGAUUAUUUUGGUCAAAUAUGUUUAUUAUUAUUGUUAGGGGUUUGAUUAUCUUUUGUGUUUGCUUUAUCAUAUGAUUUGGCAGUGUGUGAAACUUAGCUUUUUUGAUCUUGAUGUUAGAGGCUUUUGUUUAUAUUGAUCGAACUGAUUGAUUUGCUUUGUGAUUGGUUGAAUUUUUAGCUGAUGGGUGGUUAGGGAUUUGAUUUAUUUUUAGUUAACUUUCGAGUAUUCUAUGUCAGCGACCUACUCGAUGGACCUGGUAUGAGGUCGCCUAACAGUCCAGGCAUACUUUACAGUUGCUUGCUCAAUAUUAAUAUUGUUCAAAUUUAGGUUGGCGCUGGCCAAAGGUCUGUGCCAAAUCAGGUAUGCUCUAGGAUGGAGCAAGGAGUUCAAGUUUUGUGCUUGCUUUUGCAGUCAAGGAGCUCUCCAAGCCAGUAUAGAGGAAUUGCUCAUGCUCUUGCUACAGUGCUUCGUGAAGAAGGGCCCGUGCAUUGUACAAAGGAUGGCUUCCUUCUGUCAUUGGAGUUGUAAGUAUUAAAUAAUCUGGAUUGUUUGUUGUACUAUUUUAUUUAGAUUGUGUGAACUUCUGACAGUGCAUUUUAGUUUAUGCUUUAAGUACUUUCAUUGUUAAUGUCUCUGCUUAGAAUCGCCAUAUCUAGACUCUUUGUGCUAAAGAAUUAGCGAUAUGCUCGGACGUUUGUGGCUCGAUCUAAUGUUGUUGAGCUACUCGAUCUCGGCCAUUAUGAAUACACUCCUGUUUCUAAACUACAGCUAGCUAGAUCACCCGGUAAAGUCAUUGUAUAUCAAAAUAAUAUAAAUAGCAAAACAUGGUAGCAUUAGAAAAGCAGAUUAUGAAUUUAUUUAUAUCUUUGAUUGCGACAUUAGUGUAUCAGGUUGUUUUAAUGAUCUUUGGUAUUUGACCAUGCACAAUUGAUUAAUGUGGGUCGUAAGCAAGAUACUUUGCAGUCUCUUCACGAUCUUAUUACUUCAAAAAGGCACAGGGCAUGGCAGAAGACACAUGAGAAGAUUAUUUGUGUGUGUGUUUUCGUUGGUUCUUGAUGUUAAAGUUUGAAUCUUUUUGACGAUUUGAAAUUGGGUCUGUUGAUGUUUUUGUAAAGGGGUAUUCCACUGAUCAGGUGAAGCAAUUGUUCAAGAGGCUUGCUGUGCAACCAUUGGUUAUUGAAUUGGAUCAACCGGGCUGAAAAGGCAACGACGGUCUUGCGAAAAAGAGCCUGGCAUCAGAGAUGAAACAAGAGGAAAGGAAGGAGGCUGAAGAUCAGAAGCAAGAAGCCCAUGAGUGUAGUUCAACAAACAAAAACAAUGUCAAGGAGGCUGCGCAACACAAGCAAGAAAAGGAUGGAGCUGUCUAACAGACCGUGGCAUUAUAUAGUUUCCUUUGUCCUUUGGCUUGUAACAAGGUGGUUGCACAUGUAAUUUGUCUUAGAAUACAAUUAAAGUGAAUAGUUUUGUUCAAUUUUCUUUCUUGCACACUACAACCAGACUAUACGGCCUGUGACUCUUGUGACUUCCUAUCCCAGUUCGACUGGAAUUCGUUCCAAGCCUGAAAUAGGCUUUUGGGAUCCUAAUUUCUAUAUAAACAUGUUCUUGGAAUUUAUAUAUAACUAAUUUGUAGGUUUUGGUUGUUUA